GACCGAUAGCGCAUAGUACCGUGAGGGAAAGGUGAAAAGAACCCCGGGAGGGGAGUGAAAUAGUACCUGAAACCGUAUGUCUACAAGCAGUCGAAGCGAAAGCGACGGCGUGCCUAUUGAAGAAUGAACCAACGAGUUAUCUGCACUAGCGAGGUUAAGUGGAAGACACGGAGCCGCAGCGAAAGCGAGUCUUAAGAGGGCGCUAGUUAGUGUAGGUAGACCCGAAACCGCAGUGAUCUACCCAUGUCCAGGUUGAAGCGCAGGUAAAAUUGCGUGGAGGACCGAACCGGUGAGCGUUGAAAAGCUUUCGGAUGAGAUGUGGGUAGGGGUGAAAUUCCAAUCGAACGCGGAGAUAGCUGGUUCUCCCCGAAAUAGCUUUAGGGCUAGCCUGAGGUAGUAAGUAUAGGCGGUAGAGCACUGAUCGGGCUAGGGGCCGUAAAGGUUACCGAACCCUGUCAAACUCCGAAUGGAUAUACUGUAGAGCCUUGGAGUCAGACUACGAGUGAUAAGAUCCGUGGUCAAAAGGGAAACAGCCCAGACCACCAGCUAAGGUCCCCAAUGUCGUACUAAGUGGAAAAGGAUGUGGGGUUUCAUAAACAACCAGGAUGUUGGCUCAGAAGCAGCCACCAUUUAAAGAGUGCGUAAUAGCUCACUGGUCGAGAGACCCUGCGCCGAAGAUUCCCGGGGCUAAAGUACGAAACCGAAGCUGUGGCUGUAUACGUAAAGUAUACGGGGUAGGGGAGCGUUCCCAUAGGGUAGAAGUCGAACUGGAAGGUUCGGUGGACUUGUGGGAAGUGAGAAUGUUGGUAUGAGUAGCGAAAAGAAAGGUGAGAAUCCUUUCCACCGAAAGCAUAAGGAUUCCUGAGCAACGAUCGUCGUCUCAGGGUAAGUCGGGACCUAAUCCGAGGCAGAGAGCGUAGGAGAUGGACAACUGGUUGAUAUUCCAGUACCGGUAGUAAUUGUUUGAGCAAUGGAGUGACACAGAAGGGCAGGCAAGCAUGCGAAUGGAAGAGCAUGUGUAAGCGUGUAGGGUGGUGCAUAGGCAAAUCCGUGCACUGAAAGCCUGAGGCGUGAUGCGGAGUGAGCAGAGAUGCGAGCGAAGUUGUUGACCCCACACUGUCGAGAAAAGCUUCUAGUGAGAGAGCUACCGCCCGUACCGUAAACCGACACAGGUAUGCGGGGAGAGAAUCCUAAGGUGCGCGGGAGAACCCUCGUUAAGGAACUCGGCAAAAUGUACCCGUAACUUCGGGAUAAGGGUAGCCACUGUUGUGAAGUCCCAUGCGGAUGGAGCAUAGAGUGGUCGCAGAGAAGAGGCCCAAGCGACUGUUUACCAUAAACACAGGUGCCUGCUAAAGCGAAAGCUGACGUAUAGGUGCUGACACCUGCCCAGUGCCGGAAGGUUAAGGAAGGAUGUUCGGAUUAGUCCAAAGCAUUCGACUGAAGCCCCGGUGAACGGCGGCCGUAACUAUAACGGUCCUAAGGUAGCGAAAUUCCUUGUCGGGUAAGUUCCGACCCGCACGAAAGGUGUAACGAUUUGGGCACUGUCUCAACGAGGGACCCGGUGAAAUUGAAAUACCUGUGAAGAUGCAGGUUACCCGCGACUGGACAGAAAGACCCCAUGGAGCUUUACUGUAACCUGACAUUGGGUUUUGAUACAUUACGUACAGGAUAGGUGGGAGGCUUGGAAAGCUGGACGCUAGUCUGGCUGGAGCCGACGUUGGGAUACCACCCUUGAUGUAUUGAAAUUCUAACCGCGAGAGUAACGAAAUCCGGGACAGUGUCAGGCGGGCAGUUUGACUGGGGCGGUCGCCUCCGAAAGAGUAACGGAGGCGCCCAAAGGUUCCCUCAGGCCGGACAGAAACCGGCCGAAGAGUGCAAAGGCAGAAGGGAGCUUGACUGCGAGACCCACAAGUCGAGCAGAGACGAAAGUCGGGCUUAGUGAUCCGGUGGUUCUGAGUGGAAAGGCCAUCGCUCAACGGAUAAAAGCUACCCUGGGGAUAACAGGCUAAUCUCUCCCAAGAGUUCAUAUCGACGGGGAGGUUUGGCACCUCGAUGUCGGCUCAUCACAUCCUGGGGCUGGAGUAGGUCCCAAGGGUUGGGCUGUUCGCCCAUUAAAGUGGUACGCGAGCUGGGUUCA
rnacentral:rRNA from 1 species